UAGAAAAUAUUUUCUGCUUUCCCCUUUACUCGGUAGGUGGAUUUCCGUCAGACACAAUAACGAACAGGACCUUUGGAAAAACCUGUGGACGUGUCAAAGGGAGCAAUCAGGGAGGUGAAUCAGGUGGCUGAUUGCUGUUGGCAGGAAAGAUCUUUUGUAGCAGUCUGUAUUUUAUCAAAUUUGAAGAAGCCUCUGACUGAUGAUGCUAAUGUUUUUUCAAGACGGUCUCAUGAAGAGGAUGGUCAGAGUUGCCCAUAAUUUUCUUAAUUUUAUGAAGAAUCCUCCAUCAUUUCUGUCUUCUCUCUCCUGAUUGGCCCAGUGUUGUUGUUGUUGUCUUGUCUCAGUCAUGCUGGACAUACUGGACACACAUUCCUUAAUCUCUGCCUAAAUAAAAGAUGAUUGAAAGAGACUUUCUGAUCAAGUCAGCAUCAUGUCCCCACCUUUCCCACAAUCUGCUACAACCAGUAGAUCAGCAGGUGGAGCAGGUCUCCUUUAAUUGUUGGUCGGAGAAACAAAAUAAAGAGAAAAGACAACAAAGUUUCAAAAAAGGGAAUAUACACAGUAAAAAUGUCAGUGUUAAAAUCUUAGGUGUAGCGUUAAAUAAAAAGUGUGAGUGUUGUUUUAACAUCACACAGCUUUAAAAUAACACUACCAGUGUAGCCUCCGUCAGAUCUGCGUUGUGAAAUUGAAGGUGUUAAUUGGUUGGCGUUGCUUAAGCCACGCCUUCAAACACGGGUGAUAUUUACAGAUUCUGGAAAGCAUUAUUUAUUUAUCUUCAGGAUACAAAAUUUAAAAAAAUAAAAUUUAAUAGAUGUAAAGUAGUGUUGCUACUCGUGUACAGUAGGUGGCGGCAGUAGGCAACUCAAAGCUGCUUGCGACCCGCCAUAAUAGAAAAGAAGAAGAAGAAGCCGCGCCUUCGCCUAACGGUCGUUAACGGCUUUCUUUUCGCACACGAAAGACACAAUUGUUUCCUAAAGGUAAGCUGAAUGUGCAGACAUGACUUUUAUUUCGUUAUGAAUUGUGUUUUUUAGUUUGUAACUUCAACAAGCGCGCUAUAUUUAACCCAUUUUGCAUGGAAAAUUCACCAAACCCAAAGUCCCGCCUUUUUGCCAAAUCUAGGCGAACGGGUAAAAUUUAAAUCCUGUUAUAUUUCUAGUUGUCAUUUUACACCAUGAUUAAUAUUUGUAUAGCUGUAUGACUUGAAAUAUUGGCGACGUGUGCAUCUAAAAAGCCAACUUUGCAAACUGCAAAUUGUUAAGCCUCCGGGAGGAUGUGGGGAUUUUUUAAAAUUCCCUCGCAAAGUUGUUACGUCGUGGAAGCAGUGCAUUUUCCGUAGGACUACCCUCAAAAUAAAAAAGAUUUUGUUUUUAAUCCAACAUAAAUGCCGAAUGUUUUCAGAUAUUUUAUAGGAUUUAUGGUUUCAUUGUGACUGAUCUGGUUCGUCUCGUCAACGUUGCAAUAAAGUGUUGCUAGGUAAGGCUAAACUUUUGUAGUAAACAGCUAACUCCGUUUUUAUACAAAAAUUGUAUACAAACAAAUGAGGAAUUGCCUAAUAAUGUUGUAAAACUCUGUUGUUUGCAAUAUUUUAAAAUCAGUUUAAGAAAUGUAAAGUAUAUAUUGUCAUUCUAAAUUGUAAAAACCAUUUGUUAUGAAUAUUUGAGCAUUUCACAGCAAAAGAAAUUACAAGUUUUUCCAAAUCGGAUUUUGUUUUUCUGUGACUCAAGGUCCAAAAUGCAGCCACAGUAUGUCCAAAAGAAAAAAAACAACAAGUGGAAUCAUUUGCAUAUUGAGAUUCUACAGAGGCUGAUAAUCUCCCCACUCUAAAGGUUUGAGUUUUAUGUCAAAUCCACAUGAAUUAAAUGACAGAAACU